rnacentral:rRNA from 1 species
GACGAACGCUGGCGGCGUGCUUAACACAUGCAAGUCGAACGGUAAGGCCCUUCCGGGGGUACACGAGUGGCGAACGGGUGAGUAACACGUGGGUGAUCUGCCCUGCACUUUGGGAUAAGCCUGGGAAACUGGGUCUAAUACCGGAUAGGACUACGCGAUGCAUGUCGUGUGGUGGAAAGCUUUUGCGGUGUGGGAUGGGCCCGCGGCCUAUCAGCUUGUUGGUGGGGUGAUGGCCUACCAAGGCGACGACGGGUAGCCGGCCUGAGAGGGUGUCCGGCCACACUGGGACUGAGAUACGGCCCAGACUCCUACGGGAGGCAGCAGUGGGGAAUAUUGCACAAUGGGCGCAAGCCUGAUGCAGCGACGCCGCGUGGGGGAUGACGGCCUUCGGGUUGUAAACCCCUUUCAGCACAGACGAAGCGUAAGUGACGGUAUGUGCAGAAGAAGCACCGGCCAACUACGUG